rnacentral:rRNA from 2 species
GGUUAAGUGACUAAGCGUACAUGGUGGAUGCCUUGGCAGUCAGAGGCGAUGAAGGACGUACUAACCUGCGAUAAGCUGUGAGAAGUCGGUAAGAGACGCUAUUACUCACAGAUUUCCGAAUGGGGAAACCCACCCGAGAUAACUCGGGUAUCUGUUACUGAAUACAUAGGUAACAGAGGCGAACCGGGAGAACUGAAACAUCUAAGUACCCCGAGGAAAAGAAAUCAACCGAGAUUCCCUCAGUAGCGGCGAGCGAACGGGGAUUAGCCCUUAAGCAUCUUGGAAGUUAGUGGAACGGUCCUGGAAAGGCCGGCGAUACAGGGUGAUAGCCCCGUACACGAAAACAACCUUGAUGUGAAAUCGAGUAGGGCGGGACACGUGACAUCCUGUCUGAAUAUGGGGGGACCAUCCUCCAAGGCUAAAUACUCCUGACUGACCGAUAGUGAACCAGUACCGUGAGGGAAAGGCGAAAAGAACCCCUGUGAGGGGAGUGAAAUAGAACCUGAAACCGUGUACGUACAAGCAGUGGGAGCCCUUCGGGGUGACUGCGUACCUUUUGUAUAAUGGGUCAGCGACUUACAUUUUGUAGCGAGGUUAACCGUAUAGGGGAGCCGUAGGGAAACCGAGUCUUAACUGGGCGUCUAGUUGCAAGGUGUAGACCCGAAACCGGGUGAUCUAGCCAUGGGCAGGUUGAAGGUUGAGUAACAUCAACUGGAGGACCGAACCCACUAACGUUGCAAAGUUAGGGGAUGACCUGUGGCUGGGGGUGAAAGGCCAAUCAAACUCGGAGAUAGCUGGUUCUCCCCGAAAGCUAUUUAGGUAGCGCCUCGGACGAAUACUACUGGGGGUAGAGCACUGUUUGGGCUAGGGGGUCAUCCCGACUUACCAACCCCAUGCAAACUCCGAAUACCAGUAAGUAAUAUCCGGGAGACACACGGCGGGUGCUAACGUCCGUCGUGAAGAGGGAAACAACCCAGACCGCCGGCUAAGGUCCCAAAGUUCUGGUUAAGUGGGAAACGAUGUGGGAAGGCUCAGACAGCUAGGAUGUUGGCUUAGAAGCAGCCAUCAUUUAAAGAAAGCGUAAUAGCUCACUAGUCGAGUCGGCCUGCGCGGAAGAUGUAACGGGGCUCAAACCAGGCACCGAAGCCGCGGAUUCACACUUAUGUGUGAGUGGUAGGGGAGCGUUCUGUAAGUCUGCGAAGGUGUAUCGAGAGGUAUGCUGGAGAUAUCAGAAGUGCGAAUGCUGACGUAAGUAACGAUAAAGGGGGUGAAAAGCCUCCUCGCCGGAAGACCAAGGGUUCCUGUCCAACGUUAAUCGGGGCAGGGUGAGUCGACCCCUAAGGCGAGGCCGAAAGGCGUAGUCGAUGGGAAGCAGGUUAAUAUUCCUGCACGACUUGUAAUUGCGAUGGGGGGACGGAGAAGGCUAGGUGGGCCAGGCGACGGUUGUCCUGGUGAAAGUGCGUAGGUGGUGUUUCUAGGCAAAUCCGGAGACACAACACUGAGACACGAGACGAACACACUACGGUGUGGAAGCCAUUGAUGCCCUGCUUCCAGGAAAAGCCUCUAAGCUUCAGAUUACAAGUCAUCGUACCCCAAACCGACACAGGUGGUCGGGUAGAGAAUACCAAGGCGCUUGAGAGAACUCGGGUGAAGGAACUAGGCAAAAUAGAACCGUAACUUCGGGAGAAGGUUCGCUCUUGACAGUGAAGUCCCUUGCGGAUGGAGCAGUUGGGAGUCGCAGUGACCAGAUGGCUGGGACUGUUUAUCAAAAACACAGCACUCUGCAAACACGAAAGUGGACGUAUAGGGUGUGACACCUGCCCGGUGCCGGAAGGUUAAUUGAUGGGGUUAGCGCAAGCGAAGCUCUUGAUCGAAGCCCCGGUAAACGGCGGCCGUAACUAUAACGGUCCUAAGGUAGCGAAAUUCCUUGUCGGGUAAGUUCCGACCUGCACGAAUGGUGUAACCAUGGCCAUGCUGUCUCCACCCGAGACUCAGUGAAAUCGAAUUCGCCGUGAAGAUGCGGUGUACCCGCGGCUAGACGGAAAGACCCCGUGAACCUUUACUACAGCUUGGCACUGAACAUUGAACCUACAUGUGUAGGAUAGGUGGGAGGCUUUGAAGGCGUGACGCCAGUUGCGCUGGAGCCGUCCUUGAAAUACCACCCUUGUAUGUUUGAUGUUCUAACGCAGGGCCCUGAAUCGGGCUCGCGGACAGUGCCUGGUGGGUAGUUUGACUGGGGCGGUCUCCUCCCAAAGAGUAACGGAGGAGCACGAAGGUUGGCUAAUCCUGGUCGGACAUCAGGAGGUUAGUGCAAUGGCAUAAGCCAGCUUAACUGCGAGACGGACAGGUCGAGCAGGUACGAAAGUAGGUCAUAGUGAUCCGGUGGUUCUGAAUGGAAGGGCCAUCGCUCAACGGAUAAAAGGUACUCCGGGGAUAACAGGCUGAUACCGCCCAAGAGUUCAUAUCGACGGCGGUGUUUGGCACCUCGAUGUCGGCUCAUCACAUCCUGGGGCUGAAGUCGGUCCCAAGGGUAUGGCUGUUCGCCAUUUAAAGUGGUACGCGAGCUGGGUUCAGAACGUCGUGAGACAGUUCGGUCCCUAUCUGCCGUGGGCGUUGGAUGAUUGAAGGGAGUUGCUCCUAGUACGAGAGGACCGGAGUGAACGAACCUCUGGUGUUCGGGUUGUCACGCCAGUGGCACUGCCCGGUAGCUAAGUUCGGAAUCGAUAACCGCUGAAAGCAUCUAAGCGGGAAGCGAGCCCUGAGAUGAGUCAUCCCUGACCCCUUGAGGGUCCUAAAGGGCCGUUGGAGACCACAACGUUGAUAGGCGGGGUGUGUAAGUGCAGCGAUGCAUUGAGCUAACCCGUACUAAUUACCCGUGAGGCUUAACCAU